rnacentral:rRNA from 1 species
AGCGAACGUUAGCGGCGGGCCUAACACAUGCAAGUCGAACGAGAAUGAGGGAGCAAUCCCUCUAGUAAAGUGGCGGACGGGUGCGUAACACGUGGGUAAUCUACCUUCUGGCGGGGGAUGAACAGUCCGAAAGGAUUGCUAAUACCGCGUACGUCGGCGAGAUCUACGGAUCUUGCCGGGAAAGAUGGCCUCUCCUUGGAAGCUGUCGCCAGAAGAUGAGCCCGCGUCCCAUCAGCUAGUUGGCGAGGUAAUGGCUCACCAAGGCUUAGACGGGUAGCUGGUCUGAGAGGAUGAUCAGCCACACUGGGACUGCGACACGGCCCAGACUCCUACGGGAGGCAGCAGUGGGGAAUAUUGGGCAAUGGGCGAAAGCCUGACCCAGCCACGCCGCGUGAGUGAUGAAGGCCUUCGGGUCGUAAAGCUCUGUGGGGAGGGACGAAUAAGUGCCGUGCUAACACCACGGCGCCCUGACGGUACCUCCUUAGCAAGCACCGGCUAACCAUGUGCCAGCAGCCGCGGUAA